UCCUUGGAAGGCUAGUGGUUAGGUCAUGGCGCUCUCACCGCUGUGGUCCGGGUUCGAUUCCCGGCCAGGGAA
rnacentral:tRNA from 1 species